AGUGAACGCUGGCGGUAGGCCUAACACAUGCAAGUCGAACGGCAGCACAGGAGAGCUUGCUCUCUGGGUGGCGAGUGGCGGACGGGUGAGGAAUACAUCGGAAUCUACUUUUUCGUGGGGGAUAACGUAGGGAAACUUACGCUAAUACCGCAUACGACCUACGGGUGAAAGCAGGGGACCUUCGGGCCUUGCGCGAUUGAAUGAGCCGAUGUCGGAUUAGCUAGUUGGCGGGGUAAAGGCCCACCAAGGCGACGAUCCGUAGCUGGUCUGAGAGGAUGAUCAGCCACACUGGAACUGAGACACGGUCCAGACUCCUACGGGAGGCAGCAGUGGGGAAUAUCGGACAAUGGGCUCAAGCCUGAUCCAGCCAUACCGCGUGGGUGAAGAAGGCCUUCGGGUUGUAAAGCCCUUUUGUUGGGAAAGAAAUCCAGCUGGCUAAUACCCGGUUGGGAUGACGGUACCCAAAGAAUAAGCACCGGCUAACUUCGUGCCAGCCGCCGCAGUAA
rnacentral:rRNA from 1 species